rnacentral:rRNA from 1 species
AUGUAUGUGGAAGAAGAGCUCCACUGGCAUCAACUCUCUAAUGAGAGGUGGUUAUUGAAAGGGGACAACAACACUGAUUUUUUUCAUAAAGUGGCGAAUGGUCGUCGUAGAAAAAAUUCCAUGAUUUCCCUGGAGUGUGGGUCCACUCUUAUUGAAGGUACUAAAAAUUUACUUGCCCAUGCCACUGAGUAUUAUAAAACCCUGUUUGGUCCGGCUCCUGGCAACAUGUGUCAGAUUGAUGCCUCUUUGUGGUCUCAGGACGAGUUGAUUACUCCAGCGGACAAUGAGGACUUGACCCGUCCUUUCUCGUUGGAGGAAAUAAAAAAUGCUCUGUUCGACAUGAAAUCUAACCGUGCCCCUGGUCCAGACGAUAUUCCUGCUGAAUUUUAUCAACACUGC